rnacentral:lncRNA from 10 species
AGAAUCUCAAGCUGAAUUGGCUUCCAGCAAGUAGGCUAGGCUUAUUAUUUUAUGCGCUUCAGCCAAAGACCAGCAGGAACACCUUUGUAAUUGAAAAAGUUAGGUUUACUAUUUGCUGCAGGGAGGAAAUAAUGUUCACUAUGGGGAAACUGUAAGGCACAUCAAUCAGUAAGAGGAUGUUAGAAAAAACCUAGUAUAGGAUUUGAGUAUAGUAUAGGUUGGGUUAUUUUGGGGAGAGAUUAAGGAAGUAGAUCCUUAUCGUGGAUUGGGUGACAUCAGAAAGUGGGGGCACUUCUAUUCUUGGGUAUCUCAAUAAAUUUUAUCUAUAUAGGGAGGACAGACUAUUACAAGAUAAAGCUGUAAUUGAUAAAGAAGUUGGCCUGGUGUGGUGGCUCACACCUGUAAUCCCAGCACUUUGGGAGGCCGAGGCAGGUGGAUCACGAGGUCAGAAGAUCAAGACCAUCCUGGCUAACACGAUUCAGAAUGGACAGUUUAGAAGAACCUCAGAAAAAAGUCUUUAAGGCUCGAAAAACGAUGAGAGUGAGUGAUCGUCAGCAACUUGAAGCAGUGUACAAGGUCA